UUAAACUCAAAAGCACCAGGCAACGCAGCCAUCGUGCUCUCCACGUCCACCUUACUCGACAAGACGCGACGAUGCCCCAACAGCGACGCCAAUGAAGUGCCCAACCGCAGAUUGCUCUGCCCGCCGGAGAGGAACCCCAAAAUAACGGUAAUGCUGGGACACAGGUGUCCAGAUGAGAAGAAAAAUCGGACGCUCCGACAUAUAUUGUGAUAAUUAAGC
rnacentral:lncRNA from 1 species